rnacentral:rRNA from 1 species
CGGACGGGUAGAGGUUAAAUUGGGUCUGGGAAACUGCCCGAUGGAGGGGGAUAACUACUGGAAACGGUAGCUAAUACCGCAUAACGUCGCAAGACCAAAGAGGGGACCUUCGGGCCUCUUGCCAUCGGAUGUGCCCAGAUGGGAUUAGCUAGUAGGUGGGGUAACGGCUCACCUAGGCGACGAUCCCUAGCUGGUCUGAGAGGAUGACCAGCCACACUGGAACUGAGACACGGUCCAG